CUAGUACAAUAGCAGGCUCUGCAGCUCCUGGAACCAGCUCGAAGAUUCUGCCAACCGCUAAGUAUUUUCUUCCCUUUGUACACUCAGGGGCUGGGAAAAUGACCACCAAGUGGGUCCCUGGCUACAAUAGGCCCAUUGUGAGAUGGACCCAGGCCAGGACCCCACUUAUGACCUGGUCCACAUGCACCCUUCCUCUACCGUAACUUGAUGGUCCUUGGAUCCCUGGCUAUCAAUGUCAAUUUGGACCCUCCAUGCGACAGCCCUUGAAAAAUCUGGGUAGCCUGCUGUGGAAUGUGCCACUCGUCUCUCUCUUCAGGAGAGAACCUGCCACGAGUCAGGGCCCCUGGCUGCCCUCCCAACCUUGCUGUCCUUUCCAGAAAUUGCACCCACCCUGCUUGUGACAGAUAAGUGCUAUCCUCUGGUCUCUGCUAUGGCAGAAUCCCAUUAUCUCCAUUGCUACUCAGGAGCUCAGUUCUGUAGCAACAUCUCCCAUUGUCAGGCCCAGCUUACAGAGGACAGCCACCCCCGGGCUUCUCGACGACGCUGCUGGGUCCUCCCCAGUCAAUUCCUUAUCACCGUGUUAAAGAGGUGGGCCCUCUUGAGGAACUUAGUCAGCUGGGGGGGUUCCAAUAUACCAGAGAAGACCCAUUCUAGCUUGCCCACUUCUCCAAACCUUUGCACACCUUCCUCCACGGUCGGCUACAGCUGUUCCAGCAUCUCCUUCACUGAAUGUCCACCAUCACUUCCUCCAAGGUUCUGAGAACCAUCUCCAAGGGCCCUUCCAGUGGCAGACCUGAGAAUCUUUCUGCAUUGCUGAACCCUUCCAUAUCCAGCUUGUAGCCAGCUUCCCGUGAUCAGGAAGCUUCAGAGUCCACUCCUAGAAAUAUUCUCCCCUUCUCCGCCAGUCCCUGCUGGUUUGCUCCUGUGGCUCCUCUGUCUCCCCCAAAAGGAGCCAGAAAGUCAGACCUUAACUGUCCGUCAUCUCAGGGUGUGAGCUGCAUCUGAUUAUCCUCGGCACGAGGGCUAACCCCCACCCUCACCCCCCAAAAUCAGCGGAAACAGAGGCCAGAGCUCUACCCCUGCACCCCCACAUGGAAGCCAGGAGCAACGCGGCGGAGGAGAGCGCCACCUGGUGGACGGCAACGGCGCGGGAAUCUGCAAGGGGUUGAAGGCGACAAACUUGAGGACGGCGUCCCAGGGAGGGUGGGGUCAAGGGGCUGGAGGGCAAAGGGUAUAAAGGGACAGGGCUUGGGAAAGUGGAGGAACCAAAUGGGGGCGCCCUGAGCCCCACCCCAGCCUGCCUCUGCCCACAUAAGGGAGCAAAUUCCAACACCGACACUUAUCCAGUCUCUGUCUCCUCCUCUGACUGUUGAGGGAAAUUUCCUGAACAUUCCAAGAAAGACUCACUUAAAAUCCAUUUGCUUUAUUCUAAGAAAAAGGGUAAGGAAAAAUUCAGAAAGGGAAGAGGGUGUCCACUCUCCAUAGCGGCUGGGGGGGCGUUGGCCCACUCCCUCAGCAUGGUCUCUCAGCUCGGGGACACCGUGGGGGGCGACUGACUCCCACCAGAGACAAUGAAAUGGUGGCUGAGUAAUGAUUCAGCCAGAGGUAGCAG
rnacentral:lncRNA from 1 species